rnacentral:rRNA from 1 species
GACAGAGGGGGCAAGCGUUGCUCGGAAUUACUGGGCGUAAAGGGCGCGUAGGCGGGAUGGCAAGUCGGUCGUGAAAUCCUUCGGCUCAACCGAAGAACGUCGAUCGAUACUGCCGUUCUUGAGGGUUGCAGAGGAGACUGGAAUUCCCGGUGUAGCGGUGAAAUGUGUAGAGAUCGGGAGGAACACCGGUGGCGAAGGCGGGUCUCUGGGCCGAAAUUGACGCUGAGGAGCGAAAGCGUGGGGAGCAAACAGG